CCCUUAGAUGUUCUGGGCCGCACGCGCGCUACACUGAUGAACGCAACGAGACCACCUGUACCGAAAGGCAUGGGUAAAUUUGUGAAAGUUCAUCGUGAUGGGGAUAGAUUAUUGCAAUUAUUAAUCUUCAACGAGGAAUUCCUAGUAAGCGUGAUUCAUCAAAUCGCGUUGAUUACGUCCCUGCCCUUUGUACACACCGCCCGUCGCUCCUACCGAUUGAAUGUGUUGGUGAGGAGCUCGGAUUGGCAGCAGUUGGUGGUUCGCCACCGGCUAUUGCUGAGAAGUCCUCCAAACCGCCCCAUUUAGAGGAAGGAGAAGUCGUAACA
rnacentral:rRNA from 1 species